rnacentral:tRNA from 1 species
UGCCCCGUGGCUUAGUUGGUUACGGCGUCCGACUGUUAUUCCAUACGACAUCGGAAGAUCGAGAGUUCAAGUCUCUCCGGGGCAG